ACGGGUGAGUAACGCGUAGGAAUCUGCCUUAAAGAGGGGGACAACCCGAGGAAACUCGGGCUAAUACCGCAUAAUGUCGAAAGACCAAAGGCUGGGGUUAAACCUGGCGCUUUAAGAGGAGCCUGCGUCUGAUUAGCUAGUUGGUGGGGUAAAAGCCUACCAAGGCGAUGAUCGGUAGCUGGUCUGAGAGGAUGAUCAGCCACACUGGGACUGAGACACGGCCCAGACUCCUACGGGAGGCAGCAGUGGGGAAUAUUGGACAAUGGGGGCAACCCUGAUCCAGCAAUGCCGCGUGUGUGAAGAAGGCCUUCGGGUUGUAAAGCACUUUAGGCUGGGAAGAAGGUGAGUAGUUUAAGAGAUGACUCACUUGACUGUACCGGCAGAAUAAGCACCGGCUAACUCUGUGCCAGCAGCCGCGGUAAUACAGAGGGUGCGAGCGUUAAUCGGAAUUACUGGGCGUAAAGGGCGCGUAGGUGGUUAUAUAAGAUUGUUGUGAAAUCCCUGGGCUUAACCUAGGAACUGCAACGAUGACUGUAUAGCUUGAGUAUUGUAGAGGGUAGUGGAAUUUCCGGUGUA
rnacentral:rRNA from 1 species